GCGCCCGUAGCUCAGUUGGAUAGAGUACCUGGCUUCGAACCAGGUGGUCGGAGGUUCGAGUCCUUCCGGGCGCGCCA
rnacentral:tRNA from 1 species